rnacentral:lncRNA from 1 species
GGACAGAAAGAGAAGGGGUCAGGAAUCUACUGAAUAUGGUGGGAAAGGAAGUGAGAAUGGAAGGGUAUUUGGUGGGUUCAUAUCUGGAUCGGUUUGACGAUUUUACAAAGGAGAUGGAGACCUACACAAAAGAAGGGAAACUAAGAUCCAAACACAAAAUCUACUGUGGGAUUGAGAGCUUCAUUGAGAGCUUGGGAUCAAUGUUCACUAGCUCUAACAUUGGAAAAGUAGUCAUUCAAGUUAAGCCAUGAUUUUAUCCUUACGAACACUAUGUUCUUUCCGUGUUUGCAUUGAAUCUAUCUCUGGAUUUCCAAGCCUUGUUGGUUCAUAUGAAAUGAUAAUGAAUGUUAUUGUUUGAAUAUUCCAGCCUUUUAUUUAUUUAUUUUUUUCAUAUGAUAUUUUGAAAAUCUUGGAAGUAGCCUCAUUUCACAAAGAAAUGAAGAAACAUCAAGCUAUAGUUUGUGGUGCUGCUGAGGAGUUUCAUUUCAUGUACACUUAGCUUUCUCAGGGGUUAAACCUUAUAGUGGAGAAGGGACAACUUGAUUCCAAUCAGAAAGUCUUUUGCAGUAGAUGUUGCCUUCCCUCAGUCACCAACCCCUAUACUUUAAGACAUAUGUAUGAUCUUAUUAUUCCUGCACUUGUCUCUUGCACCCUAGCCUUAUACUUGGGGUAAAUUGUAUAAUCUUAUCAUUCCACUAGGGGGAUGCAUGCAUCACUACAGGAUAAAAAUUCAAUGACAAGAUACAAAAAAAAAAAGGAAAGGUAAGAGAACGUGAAGCAUAUUUCGAUGGUCACCCAUCAUCCAAGCAGCUCCAAAAUCCUAUGUUUUUUUUAUCUCACAUUUGUGAAUAAAGAGAAUUGGUCGAUAGCUGGGGAAAGGAUGCCCUGCAUGAACCCCCCUUUUGCUCCCUCUAAAAAUAGAGACGUUUCACAACCAAAGAGUUCAUAAAAGCCAUCUUCAGGCCAUGCCCCCCAAUAUUAAAGCUCCUCCAAAUUUGGCAAAUAUGCUUUACGACAACGCCAGUGUGGGUAGAUAGCCAGGACGGUAAGGAAGGAAAAACGAAAAGAAAGGAAAGAAAGUAGAGAAAAAAGAAGAAAAGGAGAAGUAGGGUGGCUAUGAGUAUGCAGAAGAAGCCAUAAGAAAGAAAAAGAGGAAAAGGAAAGGCAGCAAAGAAGAAAAAGAGAGAAGAAAGAAGGGGAUGCGGUUGUGGGUUAAACUUUUUUUAUUGUUGCGGUCAUGUAGAUGAAAGUGAGCUUUGUGACCGAAAAUGUGGGGGAAAUGGGUGUGUUCCGGAGAGAGAAGGGCGUUUGAUAAGAUAUUAUAUUUAUAAUUAUAAAUAUUUAAAUUGAAUAUAAAUAUUAAUAUAAAAAUUUAAAUUUAAUGUAUAAGAAUCAUUAAAUAUGUAUAUACAUAUUUAAUUUUUUUGUAACAUUUUUAUUUAGAAUAUAUUUGAUUGAAAAAAAUGAUAUUUAUAAUUUUUAAAGCUGAUUCACAAUUAUUUUUUUAUGGUUGGAAAUAUAUAUAUUUUUUAAAAUUUUAAAAUAUUUAAUUCAAACAAAUUUAUAAUAAAAAUAUUUUUUAUUAGUUUUAUCUAAUAUUUAAUAUGAGAUAAUAAGUAAAAAAAUUAAAAUCUAUUUCAUAAUGUUCUCUAUUUAUAUUUAUUAAUUUUUUUAGUCCAUUUAAUUGUAUAUAUUUUUAUGAUAAUUUUAAUAAUUUUGUUAAAAAAUUUAAAUUAACAUGUUUUACAUAUCGUUCGAAUCAAGAUAUCACACCAAUAUGCCUCAAGACCUUCAAGUUAAUAACUAAUUCCACGACUUUGAAACAUAAACUCAAUCCCCAAGAAUCAUGUGAUUUUCUAUCGGGUCGACCCAUAUCUCUAAGGAAGAAUGACCGGUCAAGAUGACGGACUCUACUUUUCCCAAUUUGCCUUGACGAGGUUCAUAUAUUACAACUCAACCUUCAUAUCUUCUUCAUCUUGAGGAAUGUUCACCGGAAAAGCAGGUGAUCACGACAUUUGCAAUCGGAAGGGUAAUUCGGUCAAAAAGCAGUAAUGUUUCCAAGGGUGAUCUCGUCAUUAGCCCUUUAUUCCUAUUCUCGAAGUAUUGCAAUGUAGCCCCUAUUUUACGACGGGGAUUGAAAUUUCGGCUUAUCUCAGCACACAAGGGAAGCCUUGGGCUAUGAAAUUACUGAUUUAGGCACUAGCAUUUCAGGUAAAAUUCCAGUUACAGUUCACGUGAUAGGGGUUCUUAGAUUUCCUGCAUGGGUGGGAAUUGAAGUGAUUGGCAACCCUAAGUCGGGAUCCAACAUUUUCAUCUCCGUAGCGAGUCUAGCGACAAGCGUUGUCGGAAACUUCGUCGAACAGUUGGCUAAACUUUAAGGUUGUAGAAUUGUGAGUAGUACCGAUACUUAUGAAAAGGUAAAUCCACUGCAUGCACCCAUCAUCACUCUCUUAAUCCUUUUCUCAUCGGAAAUGAAAUUUUUUUCAAUUUGAAAAAUAAAAAACCAAAAACUUGUUUGGAUAAAUUAUUUAUUAAAAAUAUUAUUUUGAUUUUAUAACAAAAAAAAUCAUAAAUUCAAUUUAUAUAAUACAAACUAAAUUUAAUUGAAGUUUUAUUAAAAAUAAAAAUAAUUUUGUAAUGAUAAAUAAAUUUAAAAAUAAAUAUUUUUUUUAAUAAAAUAUGAAUAAUAAUUAUAUCAUAAAAUCAUAAAUUAUAUUUUUUUAACAUUACAAAAAUAUACAUCCUUCUGUAAGUAUAAUUGAUUAAUUUUGUUUAAAAUGAAUUUUAAAAAUAUAAUUUUUUUUAAAGGAAUUAUACCCUCAUUUUUUGGUCUUUGAAUUGGCUUAUUUUUAGGCCAAUGUCACUCAUUUCUCGACAACUCCAUGUGAGGACAUUUAAUGAUGAUGGUUAGAGCCUAGAGGAGAGAGGGUUAUGUGCUGCAAGAGAAGAAGACAGGUGAUAUAGUGUUUCUCUGCAGGUGGUUGGAGCCGAGCAAAAAGACGGGUGAGCAAGAAAAGAGGAGAGGGAAAGUUGGAAGAGGAUUCCAGGCCUUUUUUGAGAGAGAGAGACAAAGAGAGGUGGAGGUUUAGAGUGAGCUGGGGUUUUAAAAGAGUAGAGGAGUCUUGGAGAGGAAGGUAGAGAGGGGGGGCUGUGAGAAAAAGGGAGAAAACAGAGAGAGAGCUAGACCAAAGACAGAGGAGGAGCAGAGGAGAGAAGGGGAACUGGUUUGCGGUGGUUUGGCUGGAAGUUGAGGAGAAGAAGCAGAGCAGCUUGGAGCCCAGCUAGUCUCGCUGGAGGGGAGCAUUUUCAGGUACGUUUGCUAGACCACAUAUUUAUUGCAGUUGAUUUUCUUUGGGUUGCUGUGAUUGUGUUAUAAUAGAUUCAUGUCUCAUUCUUAUGUGAAAUUUGUUGAAGUGUAAUCUAGUUCCUUUUUAGCUUUCCUGUGGGUGUUUGAGUCAUACCUUCGAUCUUAUUUCGACCUGGUUUUCCCCACCUAUACAUAAGCCCAUUGACUUCAAUAUGAGAUGGGGCUUGGUUUAAUGUUUUCUUUGGUUUUUUUUAUGCUCUGUUUUUAUGCUUGCUCCCUUGUUGUUUACUUCCGCUCCCGGUGACCAUUUGUACCCCCAAGGAGAAGGGUUUUGUCAGCUUUGCCAUUGGUUUUCUUAUGGGACAGUUCCUGAAUUUGGGUUGCUACUGUUUUAUCACUCACAGAGUUGCUGAGUUAUUUUACUCAGAAAUGGUGACUGCCUAUCUCCAGCAACAUUCUCAUUCCCAGAAAUCGAAGUUGGUGCCUUACUCGUUGAUUCUGAGCCUAUUAACUCUAGCUUGGCAACCAUCAUCUAUGGGGUAUCCAUUCGCAUCCAAUGAACAGGGCUCCGGUGUAUUCAACACUGCAAUUGAUGAACCAUCUGGAUCCACAGUAGUCACCACGGUUCCUCCAGUUGUUGGCUCCCGAUAUUUGGCAAGGUGAACGAGGAGAUUGGUAAGGAAAUUGAAAGAACCAUAAAUGUAACUGGUCUUAAUGGAAAAUUGAGGAGUUAAAAGCAGAGGAAUCAAGAGCAACCCAAUAAUGGCUUGCUUUAUGGAGAUUUCAUGAAUAAUGCCGGAAAGAAGAGAAGCAAUUCUAAUCUAUAUAUUUUAUCUGGCUUGAGGGAUUACCAUGGGUCAUUAUCUGCAUGUCACUCUGCUGGAAUUACACCCCAUGCGCCAUUUCACAUUUCUUAACUUGAGGGACAACUUGCUGAUUCUUCAGCUUCUUCUGAAAAUAACUUUCAAUCAGUCAGAACCUUGAAAUUGCUCUUAGGGCCAUGUCAUCAGAACCCCAUCCCAUGCUCUCUGCCACCUUUGUAUCCCGGGCCCCCCACCUUUGCAUGGCCAUGCAUUGUCAUCUUGGUACGCGUGCUCUCCUAACAUGGCCACCUUGUUAUACAGAAGCUGACCCUCGCCACAAAACCCAUCACCUUGACCACUCCUCGGCACAAUCUGCACAUGGGUUUCUCUCUAUCAGCUACGUCUGCGCCAUUGCUCUUUCCAUGUUGAAAAAAAUCUGAAAAUUGGGGAGCAAAUAAUAUAUCUUUAUGUCUUCACCUGGGGUUGAACCCCUUGGAGAUGAAGCUGUUGCGAGAGUUCUCGCUACUUGCAAGGGUGCAACCGAACCUGUAUUAGACACUUAUGAACAAUUGUUAUCAAAUGGAGCUAUUUUGCCAUCGCCAAACCUGAGAUUACGCCUUCCCCGUUCAGUUUUAGUGGUUCUUCGUGAAUGGGCAAUCAAUGCAUCUCCUCCACCAUCCUCUCUUCUGGUGAAUCGUAUGGAGCAGCAGUCUAGAUUCAUAGCAGUGCUGAGUUGGGUGAAAAGGCUGCUGAAUGGACAACCUUUGGGUGCUUUUGGAAAAAUGGCCGUGAACAUUCGAAUGAACUACUAGGCAGAUUUCCUUGCACUGCAAGGUUUGAUCUGGGAGAGUUUUUAGAAGAUGGUCCAGGCGAUUUGGAAGGUUUAAGUGCAUCAGCAGCAUAUUGCGAGCCUGUUGUCAACCGAACCUGCUAAUGUUAAACUUGGUGUCAGGGGCUUCAGUAUGGAUGCUACAAGUACCCUCUACUCUGUCGCUUGUUAUGCACAGGGAAGGUUCAAGGAGCUUGAGGAACAAGAUAGAAAAGUCUCCAAAAGGUUGCUGCUUCUUUGAAUGGUUCAAGUCACCGUUGGGCCACAGAUGUAAGAGCCAUGAGCACCCUGCACCAGGACCCACUUCCCAACCUUUCCACCACCUAACCUGUCUCCAGCUUUCCCCACUCACGCGUGCUUAAAUUUCUAUGUGCAUGGCCACCUUUGGUGGGCCAUUCUUAAUGCACAUAUGUCUCAUCCCCUGCUCUUCACCGUUGCUUUCAAAGACUGAUUUUCAAAUAACUUUCUCUCAGCCAGCACCUUUUUAUUUUCCUUAAUUUUUAAAAAUUUUCCGAUUUUCUCCCACUCUCUCUUUUUAAUAAACAUGAAUAAAUUUCAUAAUUCCAAAAAUAAUGGAAUUUAUGAAAUUAAUCCAUGCAAAAACAAAUUAGGCUUUGGUGGGGCCCAACAUAUGAGAUUUUCUUGUUUGUCAAUUGAUUGCUAUGCUCGAUCGACUUUGCCCUACUCUAUGACAUGCAUGCAAUUAUUAUGUACCUGUCCACUAACUUUGUUUUCAUGAUAUCAUAUUAUUGAUUUGUUGCUUAGGUACACAUCCUAUCUUCUCUUAUUUAUUUGGUUACCUUCUAUUGCGUACUUUACCCAUAGUACAUCUUUUAUUAUUGUUUGGUAUCCAUAAUUAAUCAAUUAACUGUCAUACUUACUAGAGGUACUGACCAUAGAAGACGACCAACUCAUGAGUCUGCCUGCUUGCUCGGGUCGGGUGGCGGAUUUCACUACAAACGUUGUCUCCUAGCUAGGAGGUGUCGAGAAAGGGUACCCGGAUGUUGUACUGGGAAGAAAUUGUCAGGCCGCUAACACAUAUCAUGUACAAAUACUGAGAAACAAAUCCUAAAGGAAAUCCUUAUCUUGUCACAUCAGCAGGAAGCGUCAGGAUUGGUUAGCCACGUGCUGCCUGAUAUAAAUCUGCCAAGCCAAUCGUGUAUGCCACGCAACCUUCAACGUCUCACUCAAGCAUAUAAAAGAGGCAAAAGAACAAAAAAUGGGGAUCCUUCUCCUAGAGAGCCAAGACACCCACCAACAAAGAAGUUGACACUAAAAGAUUAGCCAACGACCCGGAUAGUCACCGGAUCAUCACAUCUGGAAAUGUUGUGCACUAACAAUUGACAUCGUUUGUGGGAAUGAAACAAAAAGCCAACCACGGUGACUACAUGGGUAGCUAACUACAUGGGUAGCUAACCACACUAAUGGUGAGGGUGUCGCCCCGACAACUUAUGAGUGGCCAUAGUGAACGAUUGAACCCUAACUGACAGAGUACCGAAGGUAGCUGGACGAGUUGAGAAGAAUCGUUGAUUGGCAUAAAAGGGAGAAGAACUAGAUCUUGGCGGCCUGACUUGAUGCAGCUGCCCAGUCGCUAUCAGUAAACGAAGAGGUGUUGACAGGACUGCCAAAGAAGAACUACUCAGUCUUACCAAAUAGCCCGAUCCAUCCAGAAAUAAAGCUCCUCAAACAGGGAGGCACGAUCUUCAACUAUUGUAUUUUUCGAAACGGAUUUGUUGCCCAUCGUAAGACCGCCCAAAAAAAAAAGAAAAGUCAAAGUGCCUAAGAAGCCUAAGGUGUCAAAGAUCACUUAGCCAAGCCAAAGUGCCUACAGAAGCCUAAAGUGCGCAAAGAGCACUUGGCCAAGCCAAAGUGCCUAAGAAGCCUAAGGUGUGCAAAGAGCAGCCGACCAAGCCAAAGUUUCGAAAGAAGCAUAAGGUGCCCAAAAAGCACCCGAUCAAGCCAAAGUGCCUAAGAAGCCUAAGGUGUGCAAAAGGCACCCGACUAAGCCAAAGUGCCUAAAGAAGCCUAAUGUCACGGACUUAAUCCUUCACUAAGCUCGCGGGGCACUUAGACAAGCCAAGACGCUUGAUCUUGCUAAGUCAGCCUUGCUCCCCAAUGUUUAGCUUGCUCGGCUAAGACACUCGCGACUCAAAAGCUUAAGAAGCUUGGUAGGCAACUCUUGAAAGAAUGGAAGCUUUCACUAACUCAAGGAAACCUUUAUAAGUGCUUGGAUGCUCACUUGCUUGGUUAGAAAGUGAUUUGGGUGGUGCCUUGGCCAAAUGAGGCCUUCAACUAUUUAUAGGCACCAAGGGAACUCUCUAGAACCUUGGAGGGUUCCUUACAAAUCAAGAAUAUUCUAAAACAUCCUACCCUAUUCUAUGUACAACCCUAUGUACAAGAAUAUACAAGAGUUUCCUAGAAGUCUCUAGAAAGCCUUGGACUCCUCCCAUGCCUUCCACCAUAGUGUAGAGAUGUGUGGACAUCUCUAGGCAUUUCUAGAACCUUCCACACUCUUCCCACCAAUGGCUUAGUGUAGAUGGCUCCAGGAGUCUUCAGAAGCUUCCCUCUUCCUAUAUAAGCCCAUGAGGAGGGUCAUUUGAAGCAUCCUGUGACACUCGCCCCCACUGAUGCCGUCGACGUCCUCGUCGUUGCCUCAUUCUGAAACUUCUCGAUGUGUUUCCAGAAUUUUCUCAAGGCAUCCGCAUGUUCCCAACUUACCCGCCUCUUAGGUAGUCCUUUCCAUCGGACUAGAUACUUUAUCACAGGAGGGACCCCUUGUCUCCUGGUGACCCGUUCAGCCAGGAUAUUCUUCACCUCCUUCUCCCGUGAGGCUUCAGAUGGAUGCAGACCCGUACGCUUUCGAUGCUUAGAGUGCUGCUUCCUCUUACCCAUUGAGUUCACCUUUCCCUUGGUGACAUCUUCCAUGUGUGUGCGGGCUACCUCAGCUCGCUCCCCUUUUUCCUCCUUUACUUGCACCCCUGCUAGUAAGGAGGUCUUAGGCGUACUAGGCUUCGGGUUGAAUUGGAGGGCACCUAGUAGCUGCAUUGAGCCCAUAUGUGCUUCGUCCCCCUGCUCCCUCUCCUUGAUCAUGGCACUAAGCGCCUUCCUCUUUGGACAAUCCCGUGCCCAAUGUGGACCGUCACAUAGGAAGCAUUUGAUUUUAGGCGUGAACUCCUUCCUUUCCGCCUUACCCCUUCCUUCUCGGACGUUAGGCGUCUUGCUUGAUCCAUUUUUAGGAGCAUUGUGGUCCCUUGGAACCUCGUCUCCCCCACCCAUGGCGUGCCUAUCCUCCAAAGACUCAAUCUUGGAGGAGUCUCCCCUCCUAUAAUCCGUUAAAGACUUUGCUACUGCCAUAGCGGUGGCUAAGUCUUGAACGCCUCGGCGCCUUAAUUCCUGCUCGGCCCACCCUUGCAGGUUAUCCAUGAAGUUGAAUAGCAACUCCUCCUCAGUCAUGUUAGGAAUCUCAAGCAUGAGUGAAGAGAAUUCCUUGACAUAGUCGCGUAUUGAGACUGUGUGCUUGAGACGCCUCAUGUUUUUCCUAGCCAGGUAAGCCACGUCCUCGGGGUAGAACUGCCUCUUAAUCUCCCUCUUAAAGUCCUCCCACGUCUCUAUGGUGCAAAUGCCUUUCUCCAUAUCGGUAAACCUCCGACGUCACCAUAGAGUAGAUGUGUCAGUAAGGUAGAGAGUUGCAGUUCUUACCUUAGCCACCUCAUCAGUCAAUGCGAUAGCCUCGAAGUAUCGCUCCAUAUGCCAUAAGAAGUUAUCUAACUCCUUGGCAUCCCUUUUGCCACUAAACCCUUGUGGCUUCGGCACCUCCACCCUAGAUGCCCCUUGUGUGGCCAUGACCCGAGCCGACACAGCAGCCUUGUAAAUGGCCAACUCUUGCCGAAUCUCCUAGUCUCGGGCCUCCAUGCGCGCAGCCAAGGCCUCCAUCCUUGACUCCACACUAGCGAACAUGCUCAUGACCUUGCCUUGGAAGGACAUGAACUCCUCGUGUGACACCGGCUGAACUUGUGAGCCUAGCACCCCCUCGCGAAGGUCUUGGAUCUGCUCCCUUAGAUCCUCUAAUCCCUUCUCCAUGCCUUGCUCGAUCAAGUCCACCCCUUCCCGGGUGUCCACCAUGGCUAGCUCCACCUUGGCUAGCCUUGCCUCCAUGUUGGCUAAGGCGUCACGAGACUUAUCCUUCUUACCCCUGCCCCAUGCAGUAGGCUCGGUCUCCCUUCCUCGGGUUUGCUUACUAGUCUCCUCCACGUUAGAGCCCGACAUGCUUCCUUUGCUAUGCCCACCUCGUAACCGCGCUCUGAUACCACUUGUCACGGACUUAGUCCUUCACUAAGCUCGUGCGACACUUAGACAAGCCAAGACGCUUGAUCUUGCUAAGUCAGCCUUGCUCCCCAAUGUUUAGCUUGCUCGGCUAAGACACUCGCGACUCAAAAGCUUAAGAAGCUUGGCAGGCAACUCUUGAAAGAAUGGAAGCUUUCACUAACUCAAGGAAACCUUUACAAGUGCUUGGAUGCUCACUUGCUUGGUUAGAAAGUGAUUUGGGUGGUGUCUUGGCCAAAUGAGGCCUUCACCUAUUUAUAGGCACCAAGGGAACUCUCUAGAACCUUGGAGGGUUCCUUACAAAUCAAGAAUAUUCUAGAACAUCCUACCCUAUUCUAUGUACAACCCUAUGUACAAGAAUAUACAAGAGAUUCCUAGAAGUCUCUAGAAAGCCUUGGACUCCUCCCAUGCCUUCCACCAUAGUGUAGAGAUGUGUGGACAUCUCUAGGCAUUUCUAGAACCUUCCACACUCUUCCCACCAAUGGCUUAGUGUAGAUGGCUGCAGGAGUCUUCAGAAGCUUCCCUCUUCCUAUAUAAGCCCAUGGGGAGGGUCAUUUGAAGCAUCCUGUGACACUAAGGUGCACAAAGAGCACUCGACUAAGCCAAAGUGCCUAAGAAGCCUAACGUGCGCAAAGAGCACCCGACCAAGCCAAAGUGCCUAAGAAGCCUAAGGUACCUAAGUAGGCACCCGACCAGGCCUAUCGCCCAAUAAAGCCUAAGGUGCCCAAAUAGCACAUGACUAGGCCUAGAGCCCAAUAAAGCCUAAGGUGGCCAAGUGUUACCCAACUAAGCCUAGUGCCCAACAAAGCCUAAGGUGCUCAAGUAGCACCCGACCAGGCCUAAAGUCCAAUAAAGCCUAAACUGCCCAAGUGGCACCCAGCUAGGCCUAGCGCCCAACAAAGCUUGGGGUGCCCAAGUAGCACUUGGCCAGGCCUAAAGCCCAAUAAAACCUAAGUGCCCAAGUAGCACCCGAUUAGGGUCAGAGCCUAACAAAGCCUAAGAUGACCAAGCAGCACCCAACCAAGCCCAAUGCCCAAUAAAACCUAAGGUGACCAAGUAGCACAUGACCAGGCCUAAAGCCUAAUAAAGCCUAAGGUGCCCAAGUGGCACCCGACUAGGCUUUGCGCCUAACAAAGCCUGGGGUGCCCAAGUAGCACCCGACUAAGCCUAAAACCCAACAAAGCUUAAGGUGCCUAAAUAGCAUCUGACCAAGGCUAGAACCCAACAAAGUCUAAGGUGACCAAGUAGCACACGGUUAGACUUAGAACCCAAUAAAACCUAAGGUGUCCAAGUGGCACACAGCUAGGCUUAGCGCCCAACAAAGCCUAAGGUGCCCAAGUAGUACCUGGCCAGACUUAACGGCAAAUAAAGUCUUAGGUGCCAAAGAAGUACUUGAUCAAAAAGCUUUAGGUGCCAAGCAGCACCCAGCCAAAGCCUUAAGUUCCAAGAAGCACCCAACCAAAGUGUCAGGUGCCAAGAAAACAUUCGACCAAAAGUCUUAGGUGCCAAAAAAGCACCUAACUAGCCUCAGUUGGUCAGUUUCAGCAAUGAGGUCACAAAAUUCGCCCUCUUGCCUACCGAAAUCCCUAAUGUCACACUUCAUCUGCACAACAGAAAAAAGACAGAAAUAUGGAGGAAAAACGUAACAAUACGAAAAAAAAAACCUUAACUUACUCUCAAACACAACAAGAAGAAUCAGAACAAUUCUUAUCAACACACUCAAGUCCUAGGAAGAAAAUUGGGGCAUGAAAACCAAAGCUAGGGGACAAGGUAGUACUGCCUUACCCUCGCGUGUGUACACUUGGAAAACACAACCUCACCACCCAUAGAGUUCUAACCUACAAAGAAUCAGAAAAGACGAAAUGUCCAUCAAGGCUAAGUGCCUGACAAAGCAAAAAGCCCAUUUAAGCAAAAUGCUCAUCUAGGCGAAAUACCUAACGAGGUGAAAUGUCCAUCUAGGCAAAAUAUCCAUCAAAGCCAAAUGCCCAACAAGGUGAAAUGUCCAUCUAAGCGAAAUACCCAUCAAGACUGAGUGCCCAUCUAGGCAAAAUGCCUAACAAGGUGAAAUGCCCAUCCAGGCAAAGUGCUCAACCAAAGUAAGAUUCCUAAAGAAAGAUCAAAAGGCGGUAAUGCACGUUGUGUCACCUUGUGCAAAUCUCCAAGCGUCGCUGCUCCUCAAGGCGAUACGUGCAUGACUUAAUAUCUUCAUACGAACCACAACACGAAGGUUUUGCGCCCAAGUAGCUCUCGGUACACAAUGUCCCAAACCCACUUAGCCAUGAAAUAGGGCAUUGGAGGUACCAGCCAUAGAAGACGACCAACUCAUGAGUCUGCCUGCCCGCUUGGGUCGGGUAGCAGAUUUCCACUACAUAAGCUCCCCCCUAAGGAGUGUCGGGAAAUGGUCGGAUGUUUUAUCGUUCGAAUAUCGCUUCUCGGCUCCAUUUAAACCUACAAUGAUCUAAGAACCGACCUCCGAUUGAUCCUAGAAUAACUAAAAAUGACAACUCGAAAGAAACUGUCGGGCCGUUAACAUGGAUCAUGUGGUAUAAAUAUCGAUGAACAAAUCCUAAAGGAAAUCCUCAUCUUGUCACAUUAACAGGAAACGUCAGGGUUGGUCGACCAUGCGCCACCUAAUACAGAUCUGCCAAGCCAAUCGUGUACGCCACACAACCUCCAAUGUUUCACUCAAGCCUAUAAAAGAGGAAAAAGAACAAGAUAUGAGGAUCCUUCUCCUAGAGAACCAAGCCACCCACCAACAGAAGAAGUGACACUAUAAGAUUGGCCAGCGACCCGAAUAGUCACUAGAUCAUCACAUCUAAAAAGGUUAUACACCAACACCAACACUUAACUUAUUUAGUAGAAACCUGGUUUUAGAGUUUAGAGAGGUGUUAUGGUUCAUCACUUUACCUUCUCAAUAGAUAACCUGACCCUAAACCCGACUCGAUUUUUCUAAGACAUGCUUUUACUUUCUAAGAGUCACACUUAGAGUUUUUUUACUUCUUAUUUUAUUUUUCCUUUUAAAAAUAAAACAAAAAUAAGUAGUGACUUCAAAUUGUUUUUCAAAAAUAAAAAAUUUUCAAAUAAAAAAAACGAAUCUUAUCAUCGAGUGGGAACACAUGUGAAAAAUAAAUGUGGAUCCACAAAAGCAUUUUGAAAUUUUUUAUUUAUUUUGUAAUUACUUAAUCAAUUUCUUGAAUUCUAAAUUAUUUUUAAAAACUAGAAGAUUUGUUGAAGAAUUUAAAAGCGUUAACUAUGUCCCACUUAAUUAUUUUUAUUUCUUUAUGUUUUCCUUUUAAUUUUAAAAGCCAAUAAAAACAUGUACUUUUUUUAUGAAACAAUUGUCUUUUAUUUUUUUUUAAACUCUUUUUAGGGAAUAAAACCAAACAGUGAUAUAAAUUUUUUAAAACUACCAUUUUGUUUUUAAAAAUAGAAUAUUGUUUCUAUGCCCAAACAAACAUUUAUUGUUUAGUUAAAAAAACUCUCAAAGUUGUUUUGUUUUAAAUAAAAAUAUAAAUUAUUUUAAACUGCAGAUGUAUAUUAUUGCCAAUUCUUUUUUCAUUCCUAGUCUUGUUGUUACCUAACAAUAAAAUAGAAAUUCCAACCCCACAUUUCUAGGUGCAUCCAAACAUAUGGAUUAGAAUCAUCAAAUUCAUUCUUAUUUUAGGUAAAAUAGGAAUAAAAACAAAAUAUUUAUUUCCAUUCACCAAAUAUGCUCUUAACUUAAUAUGUGAUCGGAUAGAGUGGGUCUUUCUUUAGUUUUAAAAAUUGAUUUUUUAAAAGGUAAAUAUAAAAAUACUUUGUUUUGAUCAUUUAAUUUACUUUUAGCGUUAGUUUCUUAAAUGACGAGUUUAAUUUUUACAUUGAAAUUUUUUAUACUAAACUCAUUUUUUAAAAGAUGAAUUUAUUUAUUUUUACCAUGAAAGAGAGAUUUACAUAAAAUCUAAUGGUUUUAUAAUUAAUUUUGAGAAAACGGUUUUCGUUUUAAUAUUUUAAAAUAUUACACUAUCCUUGUAAAAUUUUUUGGCAUAGUGCAGAUUGUUUAGAACUAAAAAACAUGUUUAAUAAUUAGAAAACAAAAAAGUUGGUGUUUUCAAAAAAACAUGUUUUAGUUGUUUUUGUUUGUUUUAUAUUCACCUGUUUUAGUUGUUUUAAGCUAUUUUGUGUUGACCGUUUUAAAAAUUUAUUAUAUAAAUAUGAAAAAUUAUAAAAAAUAAGGUGCUUUGUACAACCAUUAUUUUUAAAACAUACUUAGAAAAUACAAAACAAGUUAAAGAGGAUUUUAGGUACCAAAGGAGACAUUUGUUCUAUAAACCAUAAUAAUUUUGAAUUUUUAAAAAUUAUUUUCGAAAAUACUUUUGAAAUGACCUCAACAACCAUGAAAGAAACACUAUUAGGAUGUUCUUGCCAGUUCACUUGACCCACACUCUCAUUUGGGUUGCCUAGUUAGAGACUGUUUUUAUUUUUAAUAUUAAACAAACAUUAAAACAAAAUAAUAUUUUGCCUUUUUAGUUGUUUGGGAUUGUCUACUCUGCUUUGUGUAAAGAUUAAUUUGAACUUUAAUAUAAAUUAAAUAUUAAAACAAAAUAAUAUUUAUCUUUUUAGUUGUUGUCCCAGGCUGGCUUUCGGAGUAAAAAAUUUGCAUUGAUAUGACUAUACAAUCGUAACAUAUGCUCAAGCGAUGAAAAUAAAAAAUAUAUAAAUUUUUUUAUUUUAAAAUAUUAAAAAUAUAAAUUUAUUCAAAAUUUUCUAAAAUAUAAAAAAAUGAAUGAAGUUAUAAUAUUUUAUAAAUUAAAAUUAAUUUGAUAAGAUAAAUUAUUAAUAUAACUUUUAAUAAAUUUAAUUAUUUAAAUAAAUUAAUAUCAAUAACAAAAAAUUAUUACUGCAAAUUAUUAAUAAAAUUUUAAAAUUAAAUUUCAAAUAAAAUAUUUUAUAUAAAUCCAAUUUUAUUACAAUAUGUAUAAUUCGAUACACACAUUGCAUUACACGAUGCAAACUUUCUCAUGAUACAAUUUACGAGUCCUAUUAAAAUCUUUAUAUAUCUAGAUGUAUGAUUUGAUAAUUUUCUUAUGAUACAACUUCCGUGUCUUGUUGAAGUAUUUAUAUAUCCAGAUAUAUUGUAUGAUACUAACAACCAUGGUUAUAAAAAAAGUUCUAUAUAUAAUUUAUAUAAGUCUCUUGUUCAUAGGAGUUGAUGACACGUAAUUGUAUUGUUAUUCACAAUUAAAUAUGAUAUUUAAUUCUUUACCAAAAAAAGAAAGUUAAAGUCAUCAUGGAUAAUUGUGUUGUAAUACACCAUUACCGUAUCCAUUUAUAACAAGUAACAUAUUAUUUUUAUUUACUAUAAAUUAUUUAUGUAAUAUUUUUUUCUACUUUAUUGUAAUAUUUGUUUUAUAUUUAUUUGCAUUGACUUUCUUAUUAUAUAUUACUUAAAAUUUUUCUUAUUUAGUAAUGAAAAAAUUUGAAAAAAAAAAUAUAAGAAAAGAAAAUGGUGAUCAUAAAAUUUUUAUUUACAAAUUUUUCUUAUUUUUUUCCAUAAUAUUUUCUUUAUUUCUUUUUCUGUCUCAUUUUCCUUGAAUAGAAUGAUUUCCCUUAAACCACUACCAUGUUAAGGCACCGCCGUGAGCUUGUGUCUGUCUCACUCUUCUCUAUGAGUCGCAUCGUCACCCACCUUUCUAUAAGUAUCCUUCACCAUAGGCACUGAAGUUCCAUUCUUCUAUAAGGAUCAUUCACUGAAGGCACUCAAGUUCCAUCGCAGAAAGUGGGAGAUGGCUGGCCUUGAAGGUGUUGACAAUGGUGGUCAUGAGAACCUAACCAUGGUGGAGUCACGAGAAUGGGUUAUGGUAGCCUACGCCGCCAAAGGCAUUCCAACGUCUGAUCACCUCAAACUUCGCACCACAAAACUAUCACUCGACGCUGACUCAAUCCCCAAGGACCAUGUGGCUGUCGAGCUCCUCUGGGUUUCCGUCGACCCGUAUCUCCGAGGAAGAAUGAGCGGUCAAGACGAAGGGCUCUACUUUUCCCAAUUUGCCCUUGAUGAGGUUCAUAUAUCACAACUCAACUUUCAUAUCUUUUUUCAUUUUGUGGAAUUUUUUUCUUAGUUCAAACUGGAAAAGCAGGUGAUAACGACAUGUGGAAUCGGAAGGGUAAUUCGGUCAAAAAGCAGUAAAUUUUCCAAGGGUGACCUCGUUAGUACCUCUUUUUUCCCCUUCUCGGAGUACUUCAUCAUAGAGGCUACUUCUUUGCAAGUGGUUGAUCAAACGGCUGGGAUUGAAAUUUCGACUUAUCUCAGUGCUCUAGGUAAGCGUUGGGAUACGAAAUUAUUGAUUUAGGCACUGGCGUUUUUGGUAAAAUCCCAGUUUGACCUCACUUGCAAUGUGGCUCACGUGGUAGGGGUUCCUGGAUUUGCUGCAUGGGUGGCAAUUGAAGUGAUUGGCAACCCUAAGUCGGGAUCCAACGUGUUCAUCUCCGCAGCAGCCGGUGGUGUUGGAAUGUUCGCCGGACAACUAGCUAAAUUCAAAGGUUGUAGAGUUGUGGGUAGUACCGGAACUGAUGAAAAGGUAUGGUAAUACAUAGAGAUAACGAGAAAUAUCAAAUAAAAAGAUUUAGAGAGUGUUUAUUUUUUUGGUUUUUUUUUUGUUGAAAAUAAUUUAUUUUUAGAAUUUAAGUAGUUUAUUUUUUCAUUUUUUGACUUAUUUUAAAUUAUUUUACAAAUAAAAAAAACCAUAUUGAUUUUUUCUUUGGUUUUUAAUAUUUAAUAAAAAUAGACUAUUAAGUCUUAAAUUUAUGUUUAGAAUUAAGUAAAAAAAUAAACACUAUCUUAUUUUUAUUUUUAUUUUUAAAAAGCAAGAAGUAAAUAAUGUUAUAAAUUUUUUAAAACUAUUUUUUGUUUUUAAAAAUAGAAAAUUAUUUUUAAAUCAUAUGCAGAAACAAACUUUUAUUAUAAAUAAUUUAAAUAUUUAAAAAAAAUUAUUUUCUAUGUCUUGAUUACUUUUGCCCCUUUCAAUGAACUCCAUGCAGGUGAAACUAUUGAAAGAGGAGUUUGGAUAUGAUGAGGCAUUCAACUACAACAAAGAGGCAGAUUUUGAUGCUGCUUUAAGCAAGUAAGACUUCGUAUGAAUUUGCCAAUUAUAACUUGUCCAUGCAUGGCCAAAUAUGUAGAUUUUUACUGUAAACAUCAAUUCACAUGACUGAAUGGAUGAAAUUCAUUGAAUAAUGCAGGUAUUUCCCUAAUGGUAUCGACCUCUACCUCGACAAUGUUGGUGGUAAAAUGCUUGAGGCAGUCCUCAACCAUGUUAAUGCCCGUGCCCGCAUAGCAGUCUCUGGAAUGAUAUCUCAAUAUAAUCAGGUACAUCAUCUUCUCAAGUUGAAUACGACCUGGCCAGGGAGUAACUCUGAGAGGCUUAAAACAUUCCUUCCACCUCUAUGAAGUUUACAUGCUCCCAUAUGUAAACUUACAUGUGAAGUAUAUUUGCUACCUGUAUUUUUGGUUGGUUUUCUACUACUGAUUAAUCAUUUUAUGCAGGUUUGGACAGAAAGAGAAGGGGUCAGGAAUCUACUGAAUAUUGUGGGAAAGGAAGUGAGAAUUGAAGGGUAUUUGAUGGGUUCUCAUAUGGAUCGGUUUGACGAUUUUACAAAGGCGAUGGUGACCUACACAAAAGAAGGGAAGCUAAGAUCCAAACACAAAAUCUACUAUGGAAUUGAGAGCUUCAUUGAGAGCUUGGGAUCCAUAUUCUCUAGCUCUAACAUUGGAAAAGUAGUCAUACAAGUUA